AAUAUAAUUUAAGCGAUCUGUUUUAGAGUAAUGAAUUGAAUACCGAUAAUUAUCGUUGAUCGUCUAAUGAAGAAAAAAUUAAAAACAAAAAAAAACUCGCUCAGUAAAUCCGUGUAGGUCAUUCAUGUUUUAGUGUUAGUGAUAAUAUACUUUUACUCGGAAUUCUUAUCACUUAGAGAAGGAAAAAAAACCAUUCCCGUGUAUACUA